UGCGCAACAAGGUGUCUACUCUCAACCUUUAACAGAUGCACAGAAGACGACUAUAGACAGACCACACUGUGAGGUCAGGUUGCUCCAAGGACAAGCAUCGUAGAAACUGGAAAUCGAUGAGCAGACAAGGCAGAAUUAUGCAUUCAUGUAAUGCCAGAGAAGUGGAAAUAUGAAGCGUUGCCUCUCUCAGGCUACAUUGCAUACAAUUGCUUGGGAAUCCGAAAGGGAGAAGUGGACUUGGCUUACUAUUCCAGGGUAAAGCCAAGGGAUAGACCAAAGCUCCAAGUAAAAUGUACUCUGCAACAGUCGCUCAGACUGACGUAAGGGUAGAACGUGCUCAUCACUAAUUACUGGGGUUCAGGUUUCCCGUCAAAAAGUCUUAAAGUUAAAGCUUUAGAAGAUUCUGAAAUGAGGUUCUUUGCCAGCACACCCAUGAGUGUGAAUAUCACAAGAACCAUGCAGAAGAACUGAAUGUUUAGUUUUGGAAUGAAAAACAGAAUUAUAAUACUCAGCCAUCUUCAUUCUUUUCUUUAAUAAUAAAUAUUAAUACUUUAUUGUAUCUGUUUUCAGUGUUUUGCUCUUGAACAUGUAAAUGCAAAAAUGCUAAUAAAGUAUUUAAAACCCCA